UUUUUUUUAACAGACCAUAUAGGUUUGCUUGAUCCGUUCGGUAUUUGCAAUUAAAUAUACACUUGUCCAAAUAAAAAUAAAAAAGAAACUCAGUUCCUUUGUCAAAUACUUUUUACGUCAAUGGAUUUUAGUGAUUAAAGUGAGAGCUCUCUCCAUCCAAAUCUUAUGGUGCUGAUAUUACACAUUUGAACUUCUAAUGGGCCACAGAAAUAAAUCCUCAUCCCAAAAGAAAAAUUGUUGUGCUGUAACAAUAGUAAUAAAUAAAUAAGUAAAAAAGCAUAAUUAAAUUAAGAACUACACCUUUUGCAAUUUGUUUUUCUCAAAAUGGUGCAUCUUUCCUUCACUUGCCACAUGCAAGGCUCUGAUGAUUGUAAUGCCAAAGGGGUAACUUGCUAGCAUGAGGCUUCUUCCCCGACCAUAGAAAUGAAACAGUCUUUUACGUGGAAAAGACAAGAUAGAGAGAAUCGAAUGAAUACGGCACGCCAAAGCUCUAUCUCAUAUCUUGCCCCAAUGAUGGAUCAACCUAGUCUCUGACCUCAAUCAAGUCAUGGUUGAAAUUGGUCACCAUUCAUUCCCAAUGACCUCAAUGAACUCAUGUUUCAAAACCAUAUUUAUUCACAAUUAAGUCAUCAAUUAAAUCAUUAAUGCCUUCAAUAAUAAUGAAACGAUCAAUGGUAAUUUUUCUAUUACCAGAUAAUUAUCGUACAAAAAGAAAAAACUUAUUUUAAUUAUUUUUCAUUUUAAUUUUUCAAUAUAAAAUUAAUUAAUUUUUUUACUUAUAUUUUUUAUAAUAUUAAUGAUAUAGGCUAAAAAACAAAAAAAAUGAAUUAAUAAUGAUAAAGUUAAUUUUAUAAAUAUGUUAUUCUCUUUCAUCUUGUAAGUAUU
rnacentral:lncRNA from 1 species